rnacentral:rRNA from 1 species
GACAAACGCUGGCGGCGUGCAUAACACAUGCAAGUCGAACGAAGCAUUUAAAGCAGAGACUUCGGUCAAAGCUUUUUAUGACUUAGUGGCGGACGGGUGAGUAACACGUGAGUAACCUGCCUCUCAGUGGGGAAUAACACACCGAAAGGUGUGCUAAUACCGCAUAACGUAGUUUUACCGCAUGAUAGAACUACCAAAGAUUUAUCGCUGAGAGAUGGGCUCGCGUCCAAUUAGCUAGAUGGUGAGGUAACGGCUCACCAUGGCGACGAUUGGUAGCCGGACUGAGAGGUUGAACGGCCACAUUGGGACUGAGAUACGGCCCAGACUCCUACGGGAGGCAGCAGUGGGGAAUAUUGGGCAAUGGGGGAAACCCUGACCCAGCAACGCCGCGUGAAGGAAGAAGGCCUUCGGGUUGUAAACUUCUUUUAGCAGGGACGAAGGACGUGACGGUACCUGCAGAAAAAGCAACGGCUAACUACGUG